rnacentral:snRNA from 1 species
GGAUGUGAGGGCGAUCUGGCUGCGACAUCUGUCACACCAUUGAUUCGGCUGAUCUGGCUGGCUAGGCGGGUGUCCCCUUCCUCCCUCACCGCUCCAUGUGCGUCCCUCCGGAAGCUGCGCGCACGGUCAAAGAAGACAGCCUUCCCCGAAUAGAGACUGGUCUUCGGUGGAGGGUUUACAAGUAGCUGCUAGAACCUUCAAACAAGCUCUCAAGUGUAUCCAAUCUCUAGAUGCCACAUAUGAGUGAAACAAUCUGUUAGUUGUCUUUCAUCUCUU